rnacentral:rRNA from 1 species
GACAAACGCUGGCGGCGUGCUUAACACAUGCAAGUCGAACGGUAAGGCCCUUCGGGGUACACGAGUGGCGAACGGGUGAGUAACACGUGGGUGAUCUGCCCUGCACUUCGGGAUAAGCCUGGGAAACUGGGUCUAAUACCGGAUAGGACUCCGGACUGCAUGGUCUGGGGUGGAAAGCUUUUGCGGUGUGGGAUGGGCCCGCGGCCUAUCAGCUUGUUGGUGGGGUGAUGGCCUACCAAGGCGACGACGGGUAGCCGGCCUGAGAGGGUGACCGGCCAUACUGGGACUGAGAUACGGCCCAGACUCCUACGGGAGGCAGCAGUGGGGAAUAUUGCACAACGGGCGCAAGCCUGAUGCAGCGACGCCGCGUGAGGGAUGACGGCCUUCGGGUUGUAAACCUCUUUCAGCAUCGACGAAGCGAAAGUGACGGUAGGUGCAGAAGAAGGACUGGCCAACUACGUGCCAGCAGCCGCCGUAA